rnacentral:rRNA from 1 species
UUGCGGUUAAAAAGCUCGUAGUUGGAUCUCGGCGGGCAGGGUGGUGGUUCGCUCUUCAGCGCUACAGCCCCGCUUUGCCCGUGUGAUUGGCGGAGGUUUCGGGGUGCUCUUCGUUGAGUGACUCGGAGCGCCGUCAGGUUUACUUUGAAAAAAUUAGAGUGCUCAAAGCAGGCUUUUCACGCUUGAAUAUUCGUGCAUGGAAUAAUGGAAUAGGAACUCGUUUCUAUUUUGUUGGUUUUCGGAAAUCGAGUUAAUGAUUAACAGGGACAAUUGGGGGCAUUAGUAUUCAGACGACAGAGGUGAAAUUCUUGGACCGUCUGAAGACUGACUACUGCGAAAGCAUUUGCCAAGAGUGUUUUCAUUAAUCAAGAACGAAAGUUAGAGGUUCGAAGGCGAUCAGAUACCGCCCUAGUUCUAACCAUAAACGAUGCCAGCUAGCGAUCUGCCGAGUUUUUUUUGUAGGCUCCGCAGGAAGCUUUCGGGAAACCAAAGCUUUUGGGUUCCGGGGGAAGUAUGGUUGCAAAGCUGAAACUUAAAGGAAUUGACGGAAGGGCACCACCAGGAGUGGAGCCUGCGGCUUAAUUUGACUCAACACGGGAAAUCUCACCAGGCCCGGACACUGGAAGGAUUGACAGAUUGAGAGCUCUUUCUCGAUUCGGUGGGUGGUGGUGCAUG